rnacentral:rRNA from 1 species
AUUGAACGCUGGCGGCAGGCCUAACACAUGCAAGUCGAGCGAGCGGCGGACGGGUGAGUAAGGGAUGGGGACUGCCCGAUAGAGGGGGAUAACUACUGGAAACGGUGGCUAAUACCGCAUACGAUCGGAUAACCCAUAUGGGAUUAGCUAGUAGGUAAGGUAAUGGCUUACCUAGGCGACGAGCCCUAGCUGGUCUGAGAGGAUGAUCAGCCCCACUGGAACUGAGCCCCGGCCCAGACUCCUACGGAGGCAGCAUUGGGGAAUAUUGCACAAUGGGCGCAAGCCUGCUGCAGCCAUGCCGCGUGUAUGAAGAAGGCCCUAGGGUUGUAAAGUACUUUCAGUCGGGAGGCGUUACCUACAGAAGAAGCACCGGCUAACUCCGUGCCAGCAGCCGCGGUAAUAC